rnacentral:rRNA from 1 species
GGAUUCCCCUAGUAACGGCGAGUGAACCGGGAAGAGCUCAAAUUUGAAAUCUGGCGUCCUCAGGGCGUCCGAGUUGUAAUCUAUAGAGGCGUUUUCCGUGCCGGACCGUGUCCAAGUUCCUUGGAACAGGAUAUCAAAGAGGGUGACAAUCCCGUACUUGACACGACGACCGGUGCUCUGUGAUACGUCUUCUACGAGUCGAGUUGUUUGGGAAUGCAGCUCAAAAUGGGUGGUGAGUUCCAUCUAAAGCUAAAUAUUGGCGAGAGACCGAUAGCGAACAAGUACCGUGAGGGAAAGAUGAAAAGCACUUUGGAAAGAGAGUUAAACAGUACGUGAAAUUGUUGAAAGGGAAACGAUUGAAGUCAGUCGUGACCGAGAGGCUCAGCCGGUUCUGCCGGUGUAUUCCCCUCGGUCGGGUCAACAUCAGUUUUGUCCGGUGGAUAAGGGCGGUAGGAAGGUGGCACCCUCGGGUGUGUUAUAGCCUGCCGUCGCAUACAUCGGGUGAGACUGAGGAACGCAGCUCGCCUUUAUGGCCGGGGUUCGCCCACGUCCGAGCUUAGGAUGUUGACAUAAUGGCUUUAAACGAC